rfam:Danio rerio chromosome 19, GRCz11 reference primary assembly.
UACGGCAGCUAGCUCUCUGCAACUCUCACAUGGUCGCCCACUGAAGCUAAGCAGGGCUGCGCCCGGUCAGUACCUGGAUGGGAGACCACUUGGGAAAGCUAGGUUGCUGCCGGAA